rnacentral:rRNA from 1 species
UACGUAGGGUGCGAGCGUUGUCCGGAAUUAUUGGGCGUAAAGAGCUUGUAGGCGGUCUGUCGCGUCUGCUGUGAAAAUCCGGGACUCAACCCCGGACUUGCAGUGGGUACGGGCAGACUAGAGUGUGGUAGGGGAGACUGGAAUUCCUGGUGUAGCGGUGAAAUGCGCAGAUAUCAGGAGGAACACCGAUGGCGAAGGCAGGUCUCUGGGCCACUACUGACGCUGAGAAGCGAAAGCAUGGGGAGCAAACAGG